AUUCAUGAAAAUAUGUAUACUCGUAUAAUCUUGGAGAUAAGGUCCAUAAGUUUCUACCAAACUGCCGUAAAGAGUUUGACUACGAGAAGAAUAGAGGCAAAA
rnacentral:ncRNA from 2 species